AUUGAACGCUGGCGGCAGGCCUAACACAUGCAAGUCGAACGAGUGGCGGACGGGUGAGUAAUGUCUGGGAAACUGCCUGCUGGAGGGGGAUAACUACUGGAACCGGUACCUAAUACCGCCUACCAUCGGAUGUGCCCAGAUGGGUUUAUCUAGUAGGUGGGGUAAAGGCCCACCUAGGCGCCGAUCCCUAGCUGGUCUGAGAGGAUGACCAGCCACACGGGAACUGAGACACGGGCCAGACUCCGACGGGAGGCAGCAGUGGGGAAGAGUGGACAAUGGGCGCAAGCCUGAUGCAGCCAUGCCGCGUGUAUGAAGAAGGCCUUCGGGUUGUAAAGUACUUUCAGCGGGGAGGCGUUACCCGCAGAAGAAGCACCGGCUAACUCCGGGCCAGCAGCCGCGGUAAUAC
rnacentral:rRNA from 1 species